rnacentral:rRNA from 1 species
UACGGACGGGGCAAGCGUUGUUCGGAAUCAUUGGGCGUAAAGGGCGCGUAGGUGGUUCUGUAUGUCUAUCGUGAAAGCAUACAGCUCAACUGUAUUUUGUCGGUAGAAACUGCAGGACUUGAGGCUGGGAGGGGCUGGUGGAAUUCCCUGUGUAGCGGUGAAAUGCGUAGAGAUGGGGGAGAACACUCGUGGCGAAGGCGGCCAGCUAGACCAGUUCUGACACUGAGGCGCGCCAGCGUGGGGAGCAAACAGG